rnacentral:rRNA from 1 species
CAAUAAGCGGAGGAAAAGAAACCAACCGGGAUUGCCUCAGUAACGGCGAGUGAAGCGGCAAGAGCUCAAAUUUGAAAGCUGGCUCCUUCGGAGUCCGCAUUGUAAUUUGCAGAGGAUGCUUUGGGUGCGGCCCCCGUCUAAGUGCCCUGGAACGGGCCGUCAGAGAGGGUGAGAAUCCCGUCUUGGGCGGGGUGUCCGUGCCCGUGUAAAGCUCCUUCGACGAGUCGAGUUGUUUGGGAAUGCAGCUCUAAAUGGGUGGUAAAUUUCAUCUAAAGCUAAAUACUGGCCGGAGACCGAUAGCGCACAAGUAGAGUGAUCGAAAGAUGAAAAGCACUUUGAAAAGAGAGUUAAACAGCACGUGAAAUUGUUGAAAGGGAAGCGCUUGCGACCAGACUCGCCCGCGGGGUUCAGCCGGCAUUCGUGCCGGUGUACUUCCCCGUGGGCGGGCCAGCGUCGGUUUGGGCGGCCGGUCAAAGGCCCCUGGAAUGUAGUGCCCUCCGGGGCACCUUAUAGCCAGGGGUGCAAUGCGGCCAGCCUGGACCGAGGAACGCGCUUCGGCACGGACGCUGGCAUAAUGGUCGUAAACGA